AUUAUACCACAUUACAGAUUUUUUAUGAUUGUUAUGACUAUUUCUUUAAUAAUUUUAACAACUUUCCUAAACUCUGAACACAGCACAACAUCUGUCUGUGUAGGCUAUACAAUUAACACAUUUCUUGUUUCUUUGACACAAAAAUGCAUACAGUUAACACAAAUUUAAAAUGCUUGAACUUCUUUCACAAGCUCAACCAAGACAAAAACACUGGAUUUUUCCUGACUAAUUUGCAAAUGCUU